UACGUAGGGUGCAAGCGUUAAUCGGAAUUACUGGGCGUAAAGCGUGCGCAGGCGGUUGUGUAAGUCAGAUGUGAAAUCCCCGGGCUCAACCUGGGAAUUGCAUUUGAGACUGCACGGCUAGAGUGUGUCAGAGGGGGGUAGAAUUCCACGUGUAGCAGUGAAAUGCGUAGAGAUGUGGAGGAAUACCGAUGGCGAAGGCAGCCCCCUGGGAUAACACUGACGCUCAUGUGCGAAAGCGUGGGGAGCAAACAGG
rnacentral:rRNA from 1 species